AGUGAACGCUGGCGGUAGGCCUAACACAUGCAAGUCGAACGGCAGCACAGUAAGGGCUUGCUCUUACGGGUGGCGAGUGGCGGACGGGUGAGGAAUACAUCGGAAUCUACUUUUACGUGGGGGAUAACGUAGGGAAACUUACGCUAAUACCGCAUACGACCUACGGGUGAAAGCAGGGGAUCUACGGACCUUUCGCGACUGAAUGAGCCGAUGUCGGAUUAGCUAGUUGGCGGGGUAACGGCCCACCAAGGCGACGAUCCGUAGCUGGUCUGAGAGGAUGAUCAGCCACACUGGAACUGAGACACGGUCCAGACUCCUACGGGAGGCAGCAGUGGGGAAUAUUGGACAAUGGGCGCAAGCCUGAUCCAGCCAUGCCGCGUGGGUGAAGAAGGCCUUCGGGUUGUAAAGCCCUUUUGUUGGGAAAGAAAAGCAGCAGGUUAAUACCCCGCUGUUCUGACGGUACCCAAAGAAUAAGCACCGGCUAACUUCGUG
rnacentral:rRNA from 1 species